AGAAACACCUCAGGAGAGAAAGAAAGAAGCACAAGAAAGAAAAAAAGAAGAAGAAGAAAUUGCGUACAGAUAGUCCCAGCCGAUCAAGAUCACGGGAAAGGGAAAAGAAGAAAAAGAAGAGGAAGAGUAAGCAUUCUUCAUCAGAAAGUUCCUCAUCGGAGAGUUCUUCAGAAAGCGACUCAGAGGAAGAUGAGAGACAAAAAGAUAAGAAGAAGAAGAAGAAGAAGGAAAAGAAAAAGAAAAAGGAGAAGAAGAAAAGGGACAAAGAGAGGGACUGAAAAAUUGGAUACAGCUCACACAUGUAACGUCCUAUAUAAUGAUACAUCUUCAACUUCCCCUAUACGUGGUCAUACUAAAAAUAUCUUAAGACUUUGAGGGACUGCUACUCAGCUUGAAAGCUCGUGUGCAGGAAUGUUGAGUCUCCAGUGUCAUGAUGAUCUUGAAAGAAAGCCGUACCUGAACCAAGACCCUUAAAAGUAUGCCGAAGUGUUGUAUGGUUCUUCCCUUCUGCUCAGGGUAGAUAAAGUAAAGAUUUUUUUCCUUUCCUUUUUCUUUGCUUUAUUUGUGACAUCACUAUUAUUAUCAUUGCUGUCAUUAUCAUCAUUAUUAUUUUCAUUUUUUUAUGCCCUUGUAGUAUCACAGCAUUCCCUCUGGCUUAUUGUGAUAAAAUGCAAACUACAUGAACAAGAAACUUGAAAGAGAAAAACUUGCCUAAGAGUACUCACAGGAAGUCAUAUGAAUUAAGAUUCCCUGUGUACCUGCCUGACCAUGUUGUCCUUAUCUUUGUAAUGUUCAGAAUAAAUACAUGAAAUAUCA